AUGCCAGAGAGAAGAUGCUGCUUUCUUUGCUUUGACAAGAAAAAUCACAGAUUUUUCUUCAAGAACACAACCCCAGGCAUGACUGAACUUCAGAAACCCUUGAAGACAAACCAUCCAUGCCCACUAACUCUUCUUCACCACUUCUCCUAUCCUGCCAACUACAACCAUCGGCUGGGUUUCAGACAAGAGGGUGACAAAGAGCAACUCUUCUCUGGUGUGGCUUCACAGAACGUGCUUAUUGGUGAAGGCAGUACCAGUCUCUUGCUAGGGAUUUUCCGCAGGCUGUAUUUACCUGACACAGCCGUCUCAACUUUGAAGACUCCCAUCUGGCCAAUUCUACUUCGCUGCUGUGGGAUCCAUGUUUAACGUCUUUCUCCCUUCCUCCUCUGUAAUUCACUGUAACUUCCCAGCACCUCAUGAAGUGCCUAUACUCAGAAAAUACUUGUGGUGAUGAGAAAGUGGAGGAGCAUUAUCUCUCACCGUGCCUCCAUCUCAUCUAUCUCACCGCCAACCUCUCGCCCAUGUCCUGUCUCUGGCCCGGAAUGUCUUCCCUAUUCAUAUCUGACAAUGACUUUCCUCCGUCCCUUCCAAGCCUUAUUGAAGGCACAUCUCCUCCAAGAGACCUUCCCUGACUAAGCCCUCCUUUCCUCUUCUCCCACCCCCUUCUUCUUCACCCUGACUUGCUCCCUUUAUUCAUCCCCCCUCCCAGCCCCACAACACUUAGGUACAUAUCUGUAAUUUAUGUAUAUUAAUGUCUGUCUCCCCUCUAGACUGUAAGUUCAAGGUGGGCAGGGAAUGCGGCUGUUGUAUCGUACUUUUCCAAGCGCUUAGUACAGUGUUCUGCACAUGGUUAGCGCUGAGUACGAUUGACUGUGACAAUGAGGGACACAGCAAGGUGGUUGGUAGGCAUUAAGGGACCCCAAAGGGAACUAGAUGUGUCAUUGGUGGUGUGACAGGCUGAGGGACCCCGCGACAUACUAAAGGUGCUGUUCUCGCUAAACAACAAAUGCUCAAUCUGUAUUCAAUGGGUGGUUUCCCCCUAGCAGUCACUCAGUGAUAUUUAUCGAGCGCCUAUGUGCAGUGCACUGUACCAAGCGCUUGGGAGAGUACAAUAGAACAGAAUUGGCGGCACAUUCCCUGCCUAUGAGAAGCUUACAGUCUAGAGGAGCAGUCCCUGAAAGCCCACUGUGUGCAGAACCCUGCUUUAAGUGUUUUCAUUCAAUCGGUUUUUAGGCGUGACAGAGGAAGAACAAACUGUCCCUCUAUUCAAGGAAUUGAGGUCUAAUCCAGAAGGAAGGGAGUAUUUAGACCAGAGGUGGGGGGUAAUGGGCUUUUCCUUGAACAGAAGAGGGAGGGGUGUGACUCUCUAAUCCAUGACUACUCUUCCCAAACCAUAAUCGCUACCUGGCAGUGUUGAG
rnacentral:lncRNA from 1 species